rnacentral:rRNA from 1 species
GGUCAAGCGAAUAAGUGCAUGUGGUGGAUGCCUUGGCGAUCACAGGCGAUGAAGGACGUGCAAGCCUGCGAAAAGCGGGGGGGAGCUGGCAAUGGAGCUUUGAUCCCCCGAUGUCCGAAUGGGGAAACCCGGCCCGCAAGGGUCACUCCUGGCUGAAUACAUAGGCCAGGCAGAGCGAACCCGGUGAACUGAAACAUCUAAGUAGCCGSAGGAACAGAAAUCAACCGAGAUUCCGAAAGUAGUGGCGAGCGAAAUCGGAUUAGCCUGCACAAUUUAGCCAUUACGCUAGCAGAACGGUCUGGAAAGGCCGGCCAUAGUGGGUGAUAGCCCCGUAUGCGAAAGCCUGAUGGUGGAACUGGGUGUGCGAGAAGUAGGGCGGGACACGUGAAAUCCUGUCUGAAGAUGGGGGGACCAUCCUCCAAGGCUAAAUACUCGUGAUCGACCGAUAGUGAACCAGUACCGUGAGGGAAAGGCGAAAAGAACCCCGGGAGGGGAGUGAAAUAGAUCCUGAAACCGCAUGCAUACAAACAGUGGGAGCCCCUGCUUUAAUGGCCUUCGGUUCUUUCGGCGAGCGCGCAAGCGCGAGCCAAAAGACUUCCAGAUUGAAAUAGAUCUGGAUCGGAGUGUCCACCUUCCAGUAGGAGGGCCAUUAAAGCAGGGGUGACUGCGUACCUUUUGUAUAAUGGGUCAGCGACUUACAUUCAGUGGCGAGCUUAACCGGAUAGGGGAGGCGUAGCGAAAGCGAGUCCGAACAGGGCGAUUCAGUCGCUGGGUGUAGACCCGAAACCAGAUGAUCUACCCAUGGCCAGGAUGAAGGUUGGGUAACACCAGCUGGAGGUCCGAACCCACUACCGUUGAAAAGGUAGGGGAUGAGCUGUGGGUAGGGGUGAAAGGCCAAACAAAUCUGGAGAUAGCUGGUUCUCUCCGAAAGCUAUUUAGGUAGCGCGUCGUGUAUCACUUCCGGGGGUAGAGCACUGUAAUGGUUGUGGGGGUCAUUGCGACUUACCGCGCCAUAGCAAACUCCGAAUACUGGAAAGUGCGAGCACGGCAGACAGACAGUGGGUGCUAACGUCCAUUGUCGAGAGGGAAACAACCCAGACCGCCGAUUAAGGUCCCGAAGACACAGUUAAGUGGGAAACGAGGUGGGAAGGCUUAGACAGCCAGGAGGUUGGCUUAGAAGCAGCCAYCCUUUAAAGAAAGCGUAAUAGCUCACUGGUCGAGUCGUCCUGCGCGGAAAAUGUAACGGGGCUCAAACUGUGCACCGAAAUCGCGGAUAUGUGCGUUCCACUUUAGUUCAUUCCUAGCGAGAAGCUGUCAGCGCGCAGCGCUGACAAAGCGUCCCCCAAAGUCGAGUCGGGGGUGGAGUGAAUUAAAGGGAACGCACAUAUGGUAGGAGAGCGUUCCGUAGGCCGUUGAAGGUGGGGUGUGAACCCUGCUGGAGGUAUCGGAAGUGCGAAUGCUGACAUGAGUAGCGAUAAAGCGGGUGAAAGGCCCGCUCGCCGAAAGCCCAAGGUUUCCUGCGCAACGUUCAUCGGCGCAGGGUGAGUCGGCCCCUAAGGCGAGGCCGAAAGGCGUAGUCGAUGGGAAACAGGUUAAUAGUCCUGUACCUUUAUGCAAUGCGAUGGGGGGACGGAGAAGGUUAGGUAGGCCGGGUGUUGGAUGUCCCGGUUCAAGCGUGUAGGCGUGCCCGGUAGGCAAAUCCGCUGGGCUUAGYCGAGGCGUGAUGACGCAAGGUCCUUCGGGACCCCAAGCUGCUGAGACCCCGCUUCCAGGAAAAGCCUCUAAGCUUCAGUUGCAUGAAGACCGUACCGCAAACCGACACAGGUGGGCAGGAUGAAGAUUCUAAGGCGCUUGAGAGAACUCAGGAGAAGGAACUCGGCAAAUUAGCACCGUAACUUCGGGAGAAGGUGCGCCCCGGUAGGUUGUAGAGAUUCACUCUCGAAGGCCGAUGGGGUUGCAGUGAAUAGGUGGCUGCGACUGUUUAAUAAAAACACAGCACUCUGCAAAGGCGAAAGCCGACGUAUAGGGUGUGACGCCUGCCCGGUGCCGGAAGGUUAAGUGAUGGGGUGCAAGCUCUUGAUCGAAGCCCCGGUAAACGGCGGCCGUAACUAUAACGGUCCUAAGGUAGCGAAAUUCCUUGUCGGGUAAGUUCCGACCUGCACGAAUGGCGUAACGAUGGCCACACUGUCUCCUCCUGAGACUCAGCGAAGUUGAAGUGUUUGUGAAGAUGCAAUCUCCCCGCUGCUAGACGGAAAGACCCCAUGCACCUUUACUGUAGCUUUGCAUUGGACUUUGAUGAGACUUGUGUAGGAUAGGUGGGAGGCUUUGAAACCGGGAUGCUAGUUCCGGUGGAGCCGUCCUUGAAAUACCACCCUGGUGUCAUUGAGGUUCUAACCUGGAUCCAUGAUCUGGAUCGGGGACCGUGCAUGGCAGGCAGUUUGACUGGGGCGGUCUCCUCCCAAAGGGUAACGGAGGAGUUCGAAGGUUCGCUAGGUACGGUCGGACAUCGUACUGAUAGUGCAUUGGCAAAAGCGAGCUUGACUGCGAGACGUACAUGUCGAGCAGGUGCGAAAGCAGGACAAAGUGAUCCGGUGGUUCUGUAUGGAAGGGCCAUCGCUCAACGGAUAAAAGGUACKCUGGGGAUAACAGGCUGAUKMCKCCCAAGAGUUCAYAUCGACGGVGKMGUUUGGCACCUCGAUGUCGGCUCAUCACAUCCUGGGGCUGUAGCCGGUCCCAAGGGUAUGGCUGUUCGCCAUUUAAAGUGGUACGUGAGCUGGGUUUAAAACGUCGUGAGACAGUUUGGUCCCUAUCUGCMGUGGGCGYUGGADRUUUGASRGGRSCUGCUCCUAGUACGAGAGGACCGGAGUGGACGCACCUCUGGUGUACCGGUUGUGACGCCAGUCGCAUCGCCGGGUAGCUAUGUGCGGAAGAGAUAACCGCUGAAAGCAUCUAAGCGGGAAACUYGCCUGAAGAUGAGAUCUCCCGGAGGCUUGACCUCCCUGAAGGGUCGUGGAAGACCACCACGUUGAUAGGCCGGGUGUGGAAGCGCAGUAAUGCGUUAAGCUAACCGGUACUAAUUGCCCGUGCGGCUUGAUCCU